UACAGAGGGGGCAAGCGUUGUUCGGAAUUACUGGGCGUAAAGGGCGCGCAGGCGGCCUGCUAAGUCGAACGUGAAAUCCCUGGGCUCAACCCAGGAACUGCGUCCGAUACUGGUUGGCUUGAAUCCGGGAGAGGGAUGUGGAAUUCCAGGUGUAGCGGUGAAAUGCGUAGAUAUCUGGAGGAACACCGGUGGCGAAGGCGACAUCCUGGACCGGUAUUGACGCUGAGGCGCGAAAGCCAGGGGAGCAAACGGG
rnacentral:rRNA from 1 species